rnacentral:rRNA from 1 species
AGAGUUUGAUCCUGGCUCAGGACGAACGCUGGCGGCGUGCUUAACACAUGCAAGUCGAACGGAAAGGCCCUGCUUGCGGGGUACUCGAGUGGCGAACGGGUGAGUAACACGUGGGUGAUCUGCCCUGCACUUCGGGAUAAGCUUGGGAAACUGGGUCUAAUACCGGAUAGGACCGCACUUUAGUGUGUGUGGUGGAAAGUUUUUUCGGUGUAGGAUGAGCUCGCGGCCUAUCAGCUUGUUGGUGGGGUAAUGGCCUACCAAGGCGGCGACGGGUAGCCGGCCUGAGAGGGUGUACGGCCACAUUGGGACUGAGAUACGGCCCAGACUCCUACGGGAGGCAGCAGUGGGGAAUAUUGCACAAUGGGCGCAAGCCUGAUGCAGCGACGCCGCGUGGGGGAUGAAGGCCUUCGGGUUGUAAACUCCUUUCGCUAGGGACGAAGCUUUUGUGACGGUACCUAGAUAAGAAGCACCGGCUAACUACGUGCCAGCAGCCGCGGUAAUACGUAGGGUGCGAGCGUUGUCCGGAAUUACUGGGCGUAAAGGGCUCGUAGGUGGUUUGUCGCGUCGUCUGUGAAAUUCUGGGGCUUAACUCCGGGCGUGCAGGCGAUACGGGCAUAACUUGAGUGCUGUAGGGGUAACUGGAAUUCCUGGUGUAGCGGUGAAAUGCGCAGAUAUCAGGAGGAACACCGAUGGCGAAGGCAGGUUACUGGGCAGUUACUGACGCUGAGGAGCGAAAGCAUGGGUAGCGAACAGGAUUAGAUACCCUAGUAGUCC